rnacentral:snoRNA from 1 species
UAGAGAAGUCAGUGAUGGUUUUAUUCGUAUUGUCUGAACCUGUCUGAAACAUUGGUGAUGCAAUCUCUGGGUGAUUCUGAGACUUCUCUAAGU